rnacentral:rRNA from 1 species
AUUGAACGCUGGCGGCAGGCUUAACACAUGCAAGUCGAGCGAGCGGAGGACGGGUGAGUAAUGUCUGGGAAACUGCCUGAGGGAGGGGGAUCACUAAUGGAAACGGUAGCUAAUACCGCAAACCAUCAGAAGUGCCCAGAUGGGUUUAGCUAGUAGGUGGGGUAAUGGCUAACCUAGGCGACGAUCCCUAGCUGGUCUGAGAGGAUGACCAGCCAAACUGGGACGGAGCCACGGUCCAGACUCCUACGGUGGGCAGCAGUGGGGAAUAUUGCACAAUGGGCGCAAGCCUGAUGCAGCCAUGCCGCGGGUAUGAAGAAGGCCUUCGGGUUGUAAAGCACUUUCAGCGAGGAGGCGUUACUCGCAGAAGAAGCACCGGCUAACGCCGUGCCAGCAGCCGCGGUAAUAC